rnacentral:rRNA from 1 species
UACAGAGGUCUCAAGCGUUGUUCGGAUUCAUUGGGCGUAAAGGGUGCGUAGGCGGCGCCGGUAAGUCGGGUGUGAAAUCUCGGAGCUUAACUCCGAAACUGCAUUCGAUACUGCCGGUGCUUGAGGACUGGAGAGGAGACUGGAAUUUACGGUGUAGCGGUGAAAUGCGUAGAUAUCGUAAGGAAGACCAGUGGCGAAGGCGG